CUCUGGCUGUAUAGAAGGUGUUAAGUCUGUCCCUCUGGCUGUAUAGAAGGUGUUAAGUCUGUCCCUCUGGCUGUAUAGAAGGUGUUAAGUCUGUCUCUCUGGCUGUAUAGGUGUUAAGUCUGUCUCUCUGGCUGUAUAGAAGGUGUUAAGUCUGUCCCUCUGGCUGUAUAGGUGUUAAGUCUGUCCCUCUGGCUGUAUAGAAGGUGUUAAGUCUGUCCCUCUGGCUGUAUAGAAGGUGUUAAGUCUGUCUCUCUGGCUGUAUAGGUGUUAAGUCUGUCCCUCUGGCUGUAUAGAAGGUGUUAAGUCUGUCUCUCUGGCUGUAUAGGUGUUAAGUCUGUCUCUCUGGCUGUAUAGAAGGUGUUAAGUCUGUCUCUCUGGCUGUAUAGAAGGUGUUAAGUCUGUCUCUCUGGCUGUAUAGAAGGUGUUAAGUCUGUCUCUCUGGCUGUAUAGAAGGUGUUAAGUCUGUCUCUCUGGCUGUAUAGAAGGUGUUAAGUCUGUCUCUCUGGCUGUAUAGAAGGUGUUAAGUCUGUCGCUCUGGCUGUAUAGAAGGUGUUA